CAGAUGCUUAACCGACUGAGCCACCCAGGUGCCCCAACAAUUUCCAUUUUUAAAUUUACCUUGUUCAGUUCUCUCUCACCGGAUCCUUUCCGGAAGUCCUUUCUGGAAGGUUCUUCUCAUUACUGGCACACACGCGUACACUCCCCAGUCAUGGGAGAAAGCGAGCUGCGUGGAAAUGCACGGACACGGGGGUGCAGAGCUUAGGCUGUGCUGAGGCCUCUGCUCCUGGGACGCCGGCUCAGCCCCACCCCCACGUCUUAGAUCGGGACAGGACCCUGGUGUCAUUUAGUGCAAUGGAGUCAAACCCAGUUUUGUUUUCUACAAGUACAAAACAGACAAUUUCAUAGCCCCUAAAUAAACACGUGUGCGUUGUACCCAUACGCAUACGUUCAUACGCACUUAGGACUGAAGAAGUCAAUAUGUACAAUGAGGUUAGACUGCACACCACUGUGAUCACAGCGCGUAGCACGUCUUCUGUACGGGACGAUGUUCAAGUACAAGUGGAAGGCGCGCUGACGACAUUUACUGUCCCACGGUACUCUCCUCGAGACACAGGUGGCCCCGGGCUUGGUGAGCAGACCCGUGGUGAUGCCAGAGACCCAGGGCCUCCAUUCCUUCUGGCCUGCCUCCUUGGCCAGUGGGAGGUGAGGAAAUGUGUCCAUCGAGGCCACAGUCAAGCCUGGGCAGUUCCGGGGGUCAUAUGCCUGUGACCUCAACUUUCAAGGAAGACAGAUGUUGCCUCUUGAACUCCUGAGCUUUUAGAAGCAAAGGAAGCCUUUCCCAGAAGCCUAAGGGCAGGUUGUUCUUUGGGUCGACCUGGCCCGGACGGGAUUCUGUGCCAUGUGAAGGUUGUCCCAGAGACAUGUCACUGGGGUGAGCGGGGUGGGGACAGGUGGAGGGGCGAGCCAAGUGUUAGCCACAAUGCCUGCCCACCGUUCCCUCUGUCUGUGAGGUUCCACGAGGCCAGUGAGAUUAGACAUCCAUGGGACUCUCAGCAAGAGUUCACAUCUACGACGAACCUACUCAUGUCUGGAAGUCUAGCCAUGCUUUGCCUACAGACGUAGACAGAGCAACACAGGACACACUUAGGGACACAACUCCUGUGUGGGGUCCAUCCAAGCCCAUGGUCAGCCACGGGGAGCCACGGAUGCAGCUGAAGCAUGGCUUGCUGUCUGUGCCUGCGAAUUGUUCUCCCAUUAUUGUGACCCCUGUACGUUUCUUUCCUGAAGCCGGGCACCUCUACUGCUGAUGGCCCGUGUCAGACAAGAGCCCCCCAGCCUCCGACCACCAAGCCUGAGACCCCAGACCUGCCCUCCCUGUGACGGGGAGGAAGCGUCCUCGCGCUGAGACCAGAGGCCGCUUUCCUGCCAGGGACCACGUACCCUUCCUUGUAUCAAGCCUCCGCUUUGCCACAUACAGCCUCUCUCUUCUGCAGUAUUUUCCGUCUCCUGGAUUGUUUUCAUGCGCACGCGAACAUAUUCUAAUAUCUCCUUCUAAAACCAACAAACAGAUGCCCUGCUGUCUUGAUCUUAUGCCCUUGUUCAGUUUGACUGUGUCUUCAUUCCAAACGCCUUGGGAUGGCUGCCCCGCCGUCCCUCCGCCCCUUCCUGCUGUUCUCUCCUGAGUUGCCUUGAAGAAACCGCGUGCCUCACCUCUCUGCCUACCCGGCUCCUGCCAAGGCCACCGCGACCCCCCGUCAAGCACCGUGCUGGCGUCCUUCCCCUCUGUGCCCCUUGGCACUGCUGGUCCUCUGGCUGCAAGCACUGUCCCAGCUUGGCUGCCAGCAUCACUCACCUGUCCCUUGUCCUCGCCAGCUCCCUGGCCGCCUCUUUCCCGUCAUUCCUACUGGCUCCUCCCGGAUGCGAAUUCUGGGGCGAUUCGAGGGUGUUUUCUCACGCCCAGCGGCACUGUCCCUCAGCAACUGUGUCCACUUGGCCACCCUAAGGAGCAUCACUGUGCACAGAACUGUGGAUCAAGUAGCCUGGGCCUGGCUGAAUGCCCCUGCGUGGUUGCACGUCCGUGUCCCAUGGGCAUUGCAGCCCCAGUGUCCAAAGGUGUCCUUGAUCUCCUUUGCCUCAGACCUGCUGUACACGUCCUCUACCUUUCGAAGUGAACAGGUCCGCCAUUCUCCCGUGCUCAGGUGGGAAACACAGGGCUAUCUCUUUCUUUCACCCCAUUGCCUGCCCCCAACACCUCUCUCCCUGAUCCCGGGCCCCUGCCUCACCCACAGCCUGUCCCCUGCACCCCCUGCUCUCACCUGGGUUACUGGAAAAGCCUGUUGGCCUCUCCUCUUGUCUUGCCGCUUGACGGUGAGGGCAGCCAGGGAGGGCUUUUCAAGUGUAACUCAUAUCACAUUUCACAUUAUUCUGAUCAUCAUGUGCUCCCAGUGGCUGUCCCUUGCCAAAAAUAAAGUGCACACACACACGCACACUCACACACUCACACACUUUCCGCUGUGGUUCUCAAGAGAGCGCACGAAGUGUCCGUUUUAUCAAUGGAAAAAAACCCUGAGCCCUUUCUGGCCAUAAUGCACUCAGGCCAUCACGUAAUCUUGUGUGUAAUAAUAACUAAAGUUUUAAACCAUUCAAUCCCUGUGUGGCAGGAAGAGUUCCAAGGCAGGUGCUAUUAUUGUUCCCAUUCUGCAGAUGAGGACACUGAGAUUGAGAUGCUUCGUGAGCUGUCCGGGUGACACAGCCACAGGCACCGGGACCCCGUGGUGAGCCCGUGCAGCCCGGUUCCAGGCAGUGGGACCCUGGAUGGGGGAGGUACACAUCUCCGGAUUCCAGAGGCUACCUGCUCAAGUGGACACGUCAUCCUAGAGACAGAAGCCACACGUGAACACCCCCCACCCCCACUCUUCCCCAGCUGUGCUAGCAUCACAAUAUGGAACCUGAUGUGAGGAGCUCAGAUGUCAACCAGCCUUCCUUAGACGCCUAGGGCUCUCCGCCAAGACCUCUGUAUUCUCAGACCCUCAGGCCAAGGCCGUGUCUUACUCUUCCUUUGUUGCAAUUUCCAUCUUCAUUCGGAUGGUUUCUAAGAUACUGUUUAAAAAAAGCCUUUACCCGGAAGUAAUUAUUUCUUUCUCAACAAUGUGACAAAAAGUAGCUCUGAGUUUCUGAUGAAGUUUAUUUUUUAGAAAUAUUUUCGGGUUGACUCUCAAAACACGUUUAUAUAGAUUCACAGCUGCUAGCUCCCCGGGACUUUUACCUUGCUCCCCCUUUCCCAGGGAGACCAAGGCCCCAUCCUCUGGGCUGAGACCAUGACCAUCUGGUGCAGGGUGUCAUCUCCGGCAUCUGGAACGUUCAGACAUCUCCUCAGGAUGGAUGUGUGCAGGAAUCACAGGAAAACCUGGGGACGGAGAUGAUUCAUUCAGAACCUUUUAGAGCCUAAAGCGGGUGGUAUUUUCUGAGAAGCUCUUUGAGGUGCGUCAAGUUGAAGCAAUCAAAAAACAGUCACAGUGAAAAAUAAGGCUAUGAACUUGACUUCUACCUAUAUGCAAUACAUUAAGCCUAAUGGAGAUAUCCAAAACAUGCAUUUGCUCUGGUGAGUUUAUUUCCUUAUUUCCCAUCUAUUCUAGAAAAGGUCUCAGAUGCUUACAGUAAAGGCGGAGCUGCAAGGUUAGGAAAGUAUGCCUGUAGCAUCGGGAACAUGGAAAGUAGAGGCAAAUGCACCGACAUGAUGGUGUAAUAGGGGUGUGGCAACAAGA